CAAGAAUCGGGCCUCAGGAUGACAAUCUGAAAGAGCCUCACAUAGUCUUCCCAGAAGGUUCCACCUGCGAGAUUGAGAAUAAGAACGAGGUGGUGACUCUGAAGCCAGUCUCGGGGAACAUCUGCAUGGUCAAUGAAAGAGAGAUCAAGGAGCCCUGCAGACUUGCACAAGGUGCAGUGGUUACCUUAGCAGGACCCCAUAAGUUCAGGUUCAACCACCCUGCAGAGGCAGCUGUUCUGAGGGAGAGAAGACGGGUACAGACUUUGCUUUGCACUGCAUACUGUAUAUCCACUAAAAUGACCUUGAGAU
rnacentral:lncRNA from 1 species